UGGUCAAGUUAUUAAGGGUGCAGGGCGGAUGCCUUGGCACUAGGAGCCGAUGAAGGACGUGAUAAGCUGCGAUAAGCUUCGGGGAGUUGCACGUAAACUUUGAUCCGAAGAUUUCCGAAUGAGGAAACUCACUUAGAGUAAUGUCUAAGUAUCAUUAAGUGAAUACAUAGCUUAAUGAGGGGAACUCAGGGAACUGAAACAUCUAAGUACCUGAAGGAAGAGAAAGAAAUUCGAUUCCGUAAGUAGCGGCGAGCGAACGCGGAUUAGCCCAAACCAAUAAAGUUUUCUUUAUUGGGGUUGCGGACAUAUCAUAACGAAGAGGUAUCGUAAUUGAAGAGGUUUGGAAAGACCCACCACAGAAGGUAAUAGUCCUGUAUGUUAAACGAGAAGACUUCAGAUAUGAUCCAGAGUACCACGGGACACGUGAAACCCUGUGGGAAGCAGGAGGGACCACCCUCCAAGGCUAAAUACUACCUAGUGACCGAUAGCGUAUAGUACCGUGAGGGAAAGGUGAAAAGAACCCCGGGAGGGGAGUGAAAUAGAACCUGAAACCCUGCACUUACAAGCUGUGGAAGCACAUUUCUUGUGUGACCGCGUACUUUUUGUAGAACGGGCCAACGAGUUACGUUAAGUAGCAAGGUUAAGCACUUAAGGUGUGGAGCCGUAGCGAAAGCGAGUUUUAACUGAGCGUUCAGUUACUUGACGUAGACCCGAAACCGGGCGACCUACCCAUGAGCAGGAUGAAGCGAAAGUAAAAUUUCGUGGAGGUCCGAACCCACGAGCGUUGAAAAGCUCGGGGAUGACUUGUGGGUAGCGGUGAAAUUCCAAUCGAGCCCGGAGAUAGCUGGUUCUCCCCGAAAUAGCUUUAGGGCUAGCCUCAAGGUGAGAGAUACGGAGGUAGAGCACUGAAUGUCCUAGGGGGUAUUGCACCUACCGAAGACUAUCAAACUCCGAAUGCCGUCAUCUUAUACUUGGGAGUCAGACUGUGGGUGAUAAGAUUCAUAGUCGAAAGGGCAACAGCCCAGAUCGUCAGCUAAGGUCCCUAAAUGUAAGUUAAGUGGUAAAGGAUGUGGGAUUGCACAGACAACCAGGAUGUUGGCUUAGAAGCAGCCACUCAUUCAAAGAGUGCGUAAUAGCUCACUGGUCGAGUGAUCCUGCGCCGAAGAUUUCCGGGGCUAAAACUUACUACCGAAGCUACGGCAUCAGUAAUGAUGGGUAGGGGAGCUUCCCAUACGGGUUGAAGCAUGACCGUAAGGACAUGUGGACAGUAUGGGAGUGAGAAUGUUGGCAUGAGUAGCGAGAUGUGGGUGAGAAUCCCACAGGCCGUAAACCCAAGGUUUCCAGGGGAAGGUUCGUCCGCCCUGGGUUAGUCGGGACCUAAGCUGAGGCCGAAAGGCGUAGGUGAUGGACAACAGGUUGAUAUUCCUGUACUACCGAUAACCGUUUGAGAGAAGGGAUGACACAGUAGGAUAAGCUAAGCACACUGUUGGUUAUGUGUGCCCAAGCAUUGAGGCAGUCAAAGUAGGCAAAUACGCUUUGAUAAUGCUGGGAUGUGAUGGGGAGCGAAAUUUAGUAGCGAAGUAGCUGAUUUCACACUGUCAAGAAAAGUCUCUAUCGAGGUUAAAGGUACCCGUACCGCAAACCGACACAGGUGGGUGAGGAGAGUAUCCUAAGGCCAGCGAGAGAACUGUUGUUAAGGAACUCGGCAAAAUGACCCCGUAACUUAGGGAUAAGGGGUGCCACCAUCAGGUGGCCGCAGAGAAUAGGCCCAAGCGACUGUUUACCAAAAACAUAGGUUUCUGCUAAGUCGCAAGACGAUGUAUAGGAGCUGACGCCUGCCCGGUGCUGGAAGGUUAAGGGGAUCUGUUAGAGCAAUCGAAGCAGUGAACUUAAGCCCCAGUAAACGGCGGCCGUAACUAUAACGGUCCUAAGGUAGCGAAAUUCCUUGUCGGGUAAGUUCCGACCCGCACGAAAGGCGUAACGAUUUGGGCACUGUCUCAACAACAGACUCGGUGAAAUUGUAAUUCCGGUGAAGAUGCCGGAUACCUGCGACAGGACGGAAAGACCCCAUGGAGCUUUACUGUAGCUUGACAUUGGGUCUUGGUACUACAUGUACAGGAUAGGUGGGAGGCUUUGAAACCAGGACGCCAGUUUUGGCGGAGCCAUCCUUGGGAUACCACCCUUGUAGUACUGGGACUCUAACCAUAGACCAUGAAUCUGGUCUUGGGACACUGUCAGGUGGGCAGUUUGACUGGGGCGGUCGCCUCCCAAAAGGUAACGGAGGCGCUCAAAGGUUCUCUCAGUACGGUCGGAAAUCGUACGUAGAGUGUAAAGGCAAAAGAGAGCUUGAUUGCAAGACAUACAGGUCGAGCAAGGAUGAAAAUCGGACUUAGUGAUCCGGUGGUUCUGCGUGGAAGGGCCAUCGCUCAACGGAUAAAAGCUACCCUGGGGAUAACAGGCUUAUCUCCCCCAAGAGUCCACAUCGACGGGGAGGUUUGGCACCUCGAUGUCGGCUCAUCACAUCCUGGGGCUGUAGUAGGUCCCAAGGGUUGGGCUGUUCGCCCAUUAAAGUGGUACGCGAGCUGGGUUCAGAACGUCGUGAGACAGUUCGGUCCCUAUCCGUCGCAGGCGUAGGAAAUUUGAGAAGACCUGUCCUUAGUACGAGAGGACCGGGAUGGACGUACCUCUGGUGUACCAGUUGUCCUGCCAAGGGCAUGGCUGGGUAGCUAUGUACGGAAUGGAUAAGCGCUGAAAGCAUCUAAGCGCGAAGCCAACUUCAAGAUAAGAUUUCCCACCGCAAGGGUAAGACCCCAGAAAGACUAUCUGGUUGAUAGGUCGAAGGUGUAAGUGCAGCAAUGUAUUUAGCUUAUCGAUACUAAUAGGUCGAGGACUUGACCAAU
rnacentral:rRNA from 1 species